rnacentral:rRNA from 1 species
UACGGAGGAUGCGAGCGUUAUCCGGAUUUAUUGGGUUUACAGGGAGCGUAGGCGGCUUAGUAAGUCAGAAGUGAAAGCCCGCAGCUCAACUGCGGGACUGCUUUUGAAACUGCCAAGCUAGAGUGUCGGAGAGGUAAGUGGAAUUCCUAGUGUAGCGGUGAAAUGCGUAGAUAUUAGGAGGAACACCAGUGGCGAAGGCGACUUUCUGGACAGUAACUGACGUUGAGGCACGAAAGUGUGGGGAGCAAACAGG